rnacentral:rRNA from 1 species
AGCAGUCGCCGCGGUAAAACAGAGGGUGCGAGCGUUAAUCGGAAUUACUGGGCGUAAAGCGCGCGUAGACGGUUUGGUAAGUCAGAUGUGAAAUCCCUGGGCUCAACCUGGGAACUGCAUUUGAUACUGCCUGGCUAGAGUAUCGAAGAGGGAAGUGGAAUUUCCGGUGUAGCGGUGAAAUGCGUAGAUAUCGGAAGGAACACCAGUGGCGAAAGCGACUUCCUGGUCGAAUACCGACGUUCAUGUGCGAAAACGUGGGGAGCAAACAGGAUUAGAUACCCCGGUAGUCCCUGUCUCUUAUAC